CAACAGGGAUUGCCUCAGUAACGGCGAGUGAAGCGGCAACAGCUCAAAUUUGAAAUCUGGCCCUUUCAGGGUCCGAGUUGUAAUUUGUAGAAGAUGCUUCGGGUGUGGCUCCGGUCUAAGUUCCUUGGAACAGGACGUCAUAGAGGGUGAGAAUCCCGUAUGUGACCGGCUGCCUCCGCCCGUGUGAAGCUCUUUCGACGAGUCGAGUUGUUUGGGAAUGCAGCUCAAAAUGGGUGGUAAAUUUCAUCUAAAGCUAAAUAUUGGCCAGAGACCGAUAGCGCACAAGUAGAGUGAUCGAAAGAUGAAAAGCACUUUGGAAAGAGAGUUAAACAGUACGUGAAAUUGUUGAAAGGGAAGCGCUUGCAAUCAGACUUGCGCGCGGCUGAUCAUCCGGGGUUCUCCCCGGUGCACUCGGCCGCGCUCAGGCCAGCAUCGGUUUCGGUGGUUGGAUAAAGGCCUUGGGAAUGUGGCUCCUUUCGGGGAGUGUUAUAGCCCUCGGUGCAAUGCAGCCUACCGGGACCGAGGACCGCGCUUCGGCUAGGAUGCUGGCGUAAUGGUUGCAAGCGACCCGUCUUGAAACACGGACCAAGGAGUCUAACAUUUAUGCGAGUGUUUGGGUGUUAAACCCAUACGCGCAAUGAAAGUGAACGGAGGUGAGAACCCUUAAGGGUGCAUCAUCGACCGAUCCUGAUGUCUUCGGAUGGAUUUGAGUAAGAGCAUAACUGUUGGGACCCGAAAGAUGGUGAACUAUGCCUGAAUAGGGUGAAGCCAGAGGAAACUCUGGUGGAGGCUCGCAGCGGUUCUGACGUGCAAAUCGAUCGUCAAAUUUGGGUAUAGGGGCGAAAGACUAAUCG
rnacentral:rRNA from 1 species